ACAGAAAAGAGAAAUUGUCUAGACAGAAUUGCUCAGUUAGUUAAUUUGGCCAGACCAGGGGAGACUUCUACUCUACUGACCUUUCCCCAGCUGAAGUCUGCCUUUUCUCCAAGGUCAUUUGGGACCACAGAGCUGAAAAUAAGGAGUUCUAGUUUCCUGGCAUUGCCUCAGAAAAGACUUUGGGAGCUGGCGCUGUGGCACAGCGGGUUGAAACCCUGGCCCGCAGUGCUGGCAUCCUAUAUGGACACCGGUUCUAGUCCCGACUGCUCCACUUCCAAUCCAGCUUUCUGCUAUGGUCUAGGAAAGCAGUAGCAGACAGCCCAAGUCCUUGGGCCCCUGUGCCUGCAUGGGAGACCUGGAAGAAGUUCUUGGCUCCUGGCUUCAGAUCGGCACAGCUCCAGCCACUGCAGCCAAUUGAGGAGUGAACCAGUGGAUGGUCUCUCUCUCUCUCUCUCUCGUUCUUGCUCUUGCUCUUUCAAAUAAAUAAAAUAAAUCUUUUGUUGUUGUUGUUUGUUUGUUUGACAGCUAGAGACAGUGAGAGAGAGAGAAAGGUCUUCCUUCCAUUGGUUCACCCCCUAAAUGGCCGCUACAGCCAGAAGCCAGGUUCUUCCUCCUGGUCUCCCAUGCGGGCGCAGGGGCCCAAGCACUUGGGCCAUCCUCCACUGCCCUCCUAGGCCACAGCAGAGAGCUGGACUGGAAGAGGAGCAACUGGGACUAGAACUAGUGCCCAUAUAGGAAUCCAGAGCCACAGGUGGAGGAUUAGCCAAGUGAGCCAUGGCGCCGGCCCCUAAAAUAAAUCUUAAAAAAAAAAAAAAAAAAGGAAAGACAAGACUUUGCCUAAAUCCAGCAGGCCUUAAUUUGCCUCUUCGUAUCCUAGAGAGAAGAGAGGGUCCUCCUCCUCCCAAGGCAACCCUAGUGGGAGUCAGUGGGAAGACGCUGAUCCAACCCUGCCUGCAGGACUGGAGAGGAAAGAAUCCAGGAUUCCUCAGAUCCGAUCCUGAUCCAGGCCGGGAGGGCUGCUAUCCCCAUGACUUUGGAGUCUGGGACUAUUCUCCAUUCUCAAAUCUCCCUCCUCCCAGGAUCCUCAGCUGUGAACGUAAGCCUCAAAACUUAGAGCCUUGCCCCUUCCUGAAAGAUCCUCAUUGUGUGAUUCCAUCUCUCUCCAUGUACGGUUUAGGAAAGCAGAAAGAUCCAAAUUCUAAAUUCUGUCUCUAACAUUCUUUGUCAUUCGCAGGGCAGCGCUGAUAGUCUUGGAAUAGGAGGGAGCUGGUUCAAGGUGGGAAUGGGGGAGAAGCUCACCUAAACUGGGGACGCAGGUUAUAGGGAGAAUGGUGGAGGCCAGGCUGCACAGGGAAAGCAGCCCUGGUGCUCGUUCUUCGUAUGUUCUGCUACAGCAGGAGAUGUAGGCGUUUUGGAGCAGAAAUUCCAUCUUGUGAGGUCACCAAGUUAAUGCUUUUACCUCUUUUGUGUCAGGCAGAGUGGUGAAAGGAAAUGAAACAAAGAAGGGCCUAGUGGGAGAAAGGGCAAACGCUAACCAGCCCUUUCCGAAGUCCUCCGUUUCCUUUCUCCAAGCCUCUUUCCUGGCACCUGGACAGCUUUCCUGUCCAACCACACUUGGCUGCCCACAGCCCCUCACCUCUCCCUUACUUGGCUUAGCUCCUCUUUUGGGUCUUGUUUUCUACGCUGAGCCACUACUCUAACACCUGUCCGGAGAGAUCAGGGAUAACUCCAACUUCCCAGGAACUGGACUGGGACAGGCCUGACUGAGGAGCUUGGGACCAGGAGGCAGACUUAUCACUCAGACUAAUUUUUUUUUUUUAAUAUUUAUUUAUUGGGACCCAUGUUGUGGCACAAUGGGUUAAGCUGUUAUCUGUGAUACCAGCAUCACAUAUCAGCACAGGUUCGGGUUCUGGCUUUUCGAUGUCUGAUCCAGCUCCCUGUUAAUGUACCUGGGAAAGCAGUAGAAGACAGCCCAAAUGGUUGGGCCCCUGCCACUCACACGGCGACCCGGAUGGAGUUCUGGGCUCCUGGCUUCGGCCUGGCCCAGCCUCAGCUGUUGUGAUCACUUGGCGAAUGAACCAGUGGAUGGAAGAGCUCUCUCUCUUUGAAAAUCAGAGCAACAGAGGGAGAUCUUUUAUCCUCUGGUUCACCCCCCAAAUGGCCUCAACUGGUCUGAGCCAAGACAAAGCCAGAAGUCAGAAACUCCAUCCUGGUCACCCAUAUGGAUGGAAGGUACCCAAAUACUGAGCCAUCUUCUGCUGGCUUCCCAUGCACCUGGAGAGAAGCUGGCUUGGAAGUGGAGCGGCAGGAACUCCGUCUAGCACUCCAUUAUGGGUUGGCAGAGUCACAAGCAGGGCCACAGCGCUGACCCCAUUCAGACUCAUUCUCAUCUCGCAGAUUCUUUUCUUCUUGGCUUUCUCUGCACGCCUUUAUCUCCUCUCUUUGUCAUGUCAUGUUAUACAUUGUUGCUUAAAUUGGCUUAUUCUUGAAAUGACGUUUUAAGGUUUAUUUGGAGCCAUAGAAUACAUUUGGCACAUCUUCUCAAAUGUCUGUUUUACUUUAAGAUUUAGUUGGGAAAAAAGAAUGAUUUGGUUGGGGAGAUAAACUACUUUUAUACUAAAACCAACCCAAAUAUAUUAUGCAGGAUUUAUCAAAAUUUGUGCUUUUUAGAUACAAAAUAUAAGUAACAUCAAAGACAUUUCUGGUUUGUGCUGGCUACUUUGGAAUGCUCUUGGAGCCUUAGAGAAAAAUGGUUCACUGUCCUGAAUCUUAGAAGAAAUGCUUGAGAAGCUCUACUUACAGCUGGUUCACUCCCCAAAUAGCUGCAAUGGCUGGAGCUGAGCAGAUACGAAGCCAGGAGCCAGGAGCUUCCUCCAGGUCUCCCAUGUGGGUGCAGGGGCCCAAGUACCUGGGCCAUCAUCCUUUGCUUUCCCAGGCCAUAGCAGAGCUGGAUCGGAAGUGGAGCAGCUGGGACUCAAACCAGCAGCCACAUGGGAUGCCGGCACGGCAGGCAGUGGCCCCAUCCAUUAUGCCGCAGCGCCGGCCCUUCAAUUCAAUUUUUUUAAAGAGAAGAACUAUAAAUGUUUCUGAAAAUCUGCAAGCUGGUUCAGUCCAUGGGCCUUCUGUUUGCUGUUCUGGCUUAGAGUUUCCUCCAGCUGUGCUUCAGUUCACCAACUUCUGCUAAAAUCAAGAUGCAGGAAGAGAAACAAGAAUCACAAAUGAUCUCCCUUCCCCAAUUCAUCUCCCCUCUUGCUUCGCAUUGAUCUUGGAGCACUUGUAUCAGGAAUUCCCUUCUCCAACAACAGAGCAGGCAGAGUGGCAGAAAGAGAGAGAGGGAGAGACAGGGAAUCUUCCAUCUGCUGAUUCACUACCCCAAAUGGUGGCAGUAGCCUGAGCGGGCCCAGCCAAAGCCAAGAACUCCACCCAGGUCUCCUCCAUGGCUGGAAGGGACUCAGUUCUUGUGCUGUCACCUGCUGCCUCCCAGGUGGUCCGAGGAAAGACCUCUAGGAGGGUCUGCAGUCUGUUGAGUCAGGCAGAGACCCCUGCUUCACUGCACUUCAUGUCCAUCAGCUCCUGUGUGACUGGUCUUUGCUCGCUCAGAUCCUCUCCAAUGCUCACGCCAAGCGAGAUCUUAUUUCCAGUCUUUUCUGAGGUAUCAGGGUAGCCAAGUUCCCGGGUUUGGAAUUACCUUUUUCAUGUUAAUUAAUUUCCUUUAGUUCUUUUAUUUCUUUAGUUUUCUUUCUGAGUUGUCUCAGAUCUUCCUAAACCAGAGUGGACCUCAUGAAUAAAUGAUACUCAGAACUGACUCUCCUCUAAUGGCUACGUGUCUAUGAAGGGUACAGCUUCUUAAAAAUUGAGAGGCACGUGAGAAGAGCAUGGGAAAAUAAGCCCCCAAAUAUCCACCCACUCAAGUGGGGAAACAGCUGCGCCAGCACCGAGGCAAGUGUACUUCAGCUAGUUUAUGCAGAAAACGCCCGGGGUGAGCUGGAGUUGUGCAUCGAAGGAAGCAGUGUGGAGCCUUCCGCGCCCUCACACAGCGAUGGGUUUCCUGCGGAGAAACAGCUCCAGCGGCUGCUUCCUGCCUCAGGUUUUGCUGCACUGCUCAGUGCCACAGUCACCAGUCACACGAAACUGUUAUUAAAAAUUUAGUGCGUCAGUCAAGGGAGCCACAUUUCAGAGGUAAGUAGCCAUGGGUGGUUAGUAGCUACUGUGCUGGAAAACAGAUACAGAAUGUUUCUGUCGUCAUAGAAAGUUCUAGAGGAUGGGGCUGGAUUGGGGUACUAGGGUGUCAGGAGGGGAUGCACACAUCACGGUCCCCCAAGUCUCUGAAGGGGCCAUGGUGUUAGUUAUGUGUCCUCUCCCUGCCAUUCCCUUUUCGUAUCAGGUACCAGUGGCCAGACUGUGGAUGCCAGCAGUGCUCCUGCCUCUCCGUCUCUCCGUCUCUCCAUCCCUUUGUCUUGCCCUCUGGGCGGCUCUUGUCCUUGCUCUACCCUUCAGUCCCUGGAAAACAGGCUGCAGGUAAAAACUUUUCCAUCAACUUUGACCUAA